rnacentral:lncRNA from 13 species
UCCUAUGACCUAUAGGCCUAGGCGAAAUACAUUAAUUUUGCAAUGUAUUAGCCUACUUCUUAGGUCUAUAUAAUAUUUACUACACAACUGAAAUAUCAACAUCAGUCAUGGCGAUUUUAUAGGAUUCCAGAGCCUUGACAGAUGCACACACACCACUGUGGUGACACGUCCCCAAAUGACUAUCUCUGUCCCCACGUUGUAAUUACCCCUCCCCCACUCUUUACCGCGCAGAGCCAGAGAGGGAAAAUCACAUUCACCUGGAGAAGCGCGUGCCAAAUGCAGGUCACCGCUGUCCCUAAAAAAAGGAUUAAGGAUAGAUUUGAGUUGGCCUGAUGGAGAGAUCUUCCAGACUGCUCCGGCCCAUGGAGGAUGCAGAGCAUCACAUAAGAUCAAACAUUGAUAAACCAGUACUUUACCAGUGUUUUAUCAAUAUCUUUAAAGAACGAGGAGUUUUUGCCACUGAAUUCAUAUCCAAAGGAGACUUUGUUGUGGAGUACCGAGGUGAACUGCUUACACAACAGGAGAGCGAGGUCCGAGCUGAUCAGUACAAUAAUUCUGAAAAGGUGUUUAUUUUCAAUGGAAAGGAAGAACAUGGUGGUAAGUAGGAUUGAUGAGAACAAAAUAAACACAUUACUACCUUUUGAGAUUUUAAAAAAGCAACAACAUUCAAAUGGAGACAGACAUUUUAAUGGUUGGUGGCACAGUAUGCACUGUAGGUCUGUCUCAGGCCCAGAUCCUAAUUUGACCUUGUCCCUGACCUAAACAGUGAGGAAAAAUAUUAUUCUUCAAACCAACUGGUUCGCUAUCAGAGCAUCUGCACUCCUUUUUUUAAACAACGCGUUAGGGACUUUCAAAUCAAAUUUUAUUUGUCACAUACACAUGGUUAGCAGAUGUUAAUGCGAGUGUAGCGAAAUGCUUGGGACUUUUCUGUCCCUUUUCUGAAAUAUAAACCCUGUGCUGCAAUAUCUUCAUUAAACUGUGACAUGUUAUGUUUCUAUGCAGCAUUGAUGCAUCUGAAGAGGACUCCUCCCUUGGGAGACUCGUUAAUGAUGAUCACAAAAGACACAAUCUCAAAAUGAAGGCCAUACAAGCAAACGAUGAGCCACACUUGUGCCUCUUCGCGACUCGAGAUAUUGUAGUUGGCAAAGAGUUGACUUAUAGUUACGGUGAUUCUGACUGGCCAUGGACAACACAGGUCAUCAAAGCUGAUGUGUCGUCCAGCCCAAAACCUAUGCCUCGUGAGCUGGUAAAAUGCAGGUUUUGCAUGUCGGAGGAACAUGAGGCCAAAGUCGUUUUGGAGGAGAGCGCCUUGGUGGAGUUGGAGGUGGUCCCGGAGACCCAGAUGUCAACGGGUAGUCAAUCCAUCAGUAGGCCGCAGGGAGAGGUUGGAGGAGCAACGGGAGAGUUGGGCUCAUCUCUCGGCGAAGUAUAUAUCGAUGAAGAGGCAUUCGGGGCCCUCGUGGGGGAGAUGAAGGAGAUUGUGGAGGAGCUCCAAGUCUCACAAACAAGGACGGCGGAAUGUGGGUCCAUCUCACCCUUACCUGCCACUCCAAGAACGAAGAGGGAUGCCUCCACACCCCAGCAGGCCCUGCAGGAGCCAGGGCUGUUUGUGCACUCGGUUGAGG